rnacentral:rRNA from 1 species
CGAGCCUGCCCGGUGACUAUAUGUUCAACGGCCGCGGUAUUUUAACCGUGCAAAGGUAGCGCAAUCACUUGUCUUUUAAAUGAAGACCUGUAUGAAUGGUAUUACGAGGGCUUAACUGUCUCCUUUUUCAAGUCAGUGAAAUUGAUCUCCCCGUGCAGAAGCGGGGAUAAAACCAUAAGACGAGAAGACCCUAUGGAGCUUUAAGACACUAAGGCAAAUCAAGUUAAACACCCCUAAACAAAGGACUAAACCUAUUGAACUCUUACCCGUAUGUCUUCGGUUGGGGCGACCAUGGGGAAACAAAAAACCCCCACGUGGAACGGGAGCACAACUACUCCUACAGCUGAGAGCUGCCGCUCUAAUAAGCAGAACUUCUGACCAAUAACUGAUCCGGCAACGCCGAUCAACGGACCAAGUUACCCUAGGGAUAACAGCGCAAUCCCCUUUUAGAGCCCCUAUCGACAAGGGGGUUUACGACCUCGAUGUUGGAUCAGGACAUCCCAAUGGUGCAGCCGCU